ensembl:lncRNA
GUUUGCUGUGGUGUCUGAGCUUGUGAACCGCUACCUCUCCUGUGUGGUUUCCUCGUUCUCCUGCGGUUGUGGGCAUUGCAGAGGCCUAGUUGAGGAUGCACUUCUUGGAUUGUGGUCUGGGAGUUGGUCAAUCUCCUGGAUGUGUGGUGGUUGAAGGGUCAACAUGAGAACCUCAUCUGAACUAAGCAUGUCUUCGGUCAUCAAGUGAAGUGGGAACCACAUCAUGAGGCUGCAGGCAGACACUGCCUAGGUGGAAGCUCUGUGAAGGACGUACGAAAUCAAUGCCCAAGACGGGUAAUAUGCCUGUAAAGAUCCAAGCAGCCAAAUCACGACCUUGGACCUACUCCUAUGAGUCAUGGCAAUCCCUGACUGGAUUUUAGGUGCCAGUAAAUUGUCCUCACCAUCUGUCAUAAAAUGGUGUCCGUUAACUGAAGGAAAUUGCACCACUUUAUCGGAGAACUAGAGUACUUCCCCUCAGCAAGGCUGAGAAUAGACUUGAGGUAACUGCCAGCAGUUAAUCUUGUUUAUAGGCCUGUGUUGUGUACUGGCUGUGGGCAUUGCAGAGGCCUAAUUGAGGAUGCGCUUCUUGGAUUGUGGUCUGGGAGUUGGUCAAUCUCCUGGAUGUGUGGUGGUUGAAGGGCCAACAUGAGAACCUCAUCUGAACUAAGCAUGUCUUCUGUCAUCAAGUGAAGUGGGAACCACAUGAGGCCAUGCAGAGGCAGACACUGCCUAGGUGGAAGCUCUGCUCUGUGAAAGAGGAUUAGCUGCUUGGAUCUUCACAGGCAUCAUCAUGUGUCUACUCCAGAACCUGAAAAGGUGAACCCACUGGAGUUGCCUGGGUUUGGCUGUUAUGGUGAAAUGAUUAGUGUCUGGUCCUGACCAUCUGUCUUAAAAUGGUUUGAAAUCCUUGGCAGAAGUCCUGGCCAGACACGGCUGAAAAAGGGACCAUACAUUCAGAUUGAUUGUUUUUUUUCUGUAUGCCGGAGAGUGAGCGGUCCAUGCCAGGUUUCAGAACAUGAUCAGGUUGCCUGCAUCCUCAGUGAUUUGGGUCCCCGCUAUCCCCAGGCUUUGGUACUCAAAAACCUGUCUGCUCCAAGACUCUUUGGCGUCAUCAUGUUCCAGCAUGGCUUUCUUGUACUACAGUUUUUAUUUGUGAAUAAAUGUGUGGCCCUAACAUUGUCUUGGAAUUGUAUCAGGAUGGGAUGGAUAUUGAGGGUUACAACUUCACCAUAAGCCAGUAGAGCAAAAACAGUAAGAGUAGCUAAGUGAUAUGGUUGGCUGUUCUGGAAAUUAUGGUAAAAAUGUAUUUUCAGAGUUCUUAUGCAUUAACCCUUCGCUGAGACUAAGUUGUCGUUUUGUUAGGGCAUAUAGCAACGGCUGAUGAGCCGUUUUGUCGGCAGACGGGUGGAAUGGGAAGACUAUAAGGAAUUGUAUUAAUUACUAAGUUUCUAUAUAUUAUAUAGUGUGCGUGGCAAGUCAUUUUGUAUGCGAGGGCCAUAAUCUGGCUUCGCUUUCCACUCCUACCCACAGACCCUUAACAUUCUAUGGAUUGGCUCCUACUUUUACAAUGGUUGGUGUUGCCAUAUUGAGAAAUGCAGACUUUCACCUUUCUCUUGAGUGGUGUGAACCGAGGUUGAUGUUUUGGAAUAGAGCUGGCUACACCUGCUCAGUAACUGAAUUUAAUUCAAAGGGGCGUGGUUCUGAAGGUACUGUUAGUUUUCUUUGCACCUCAGGGCAGAUAUAAACUAAUUACAACUUUUAAUAAGAAAUGGCCAACGAUCGGCCCAGAAAGCAGGGGCAGUGGCCCAUUGGUUUAUGUUCUGUAUACUCCAACACUGUCCCCAUCUGUCCCCUUGUCUUCUGUCAGAUGCCGUGGCCUGAUGAAUGAGUCACAAAAGCGCAAGGUGGGUACGGACAAUUUGCGGGCCAAAAAAACCGAAAGCGACCGUUGUCGUCAUGUGCAAAAAUAACCCACCCCCACCAUACGGUCAUACCCUUAUUCUACCCUAUACUGUGUGCUAGGAUUUUCCUGCAAUGUAAAUAAUUUCUACCAUCGACAUAGUUUUCUGUUCCAUUACUCUACUUACCCUUGUAAUAGUAACCAUACAAGCACACUGUAUCCCUAUUAAGCUGUUCUGCAAUACUUGAAUGCUCUGUCCACCUUUUCCACUACCAAUGUUGUAUACGUCAUGUAUAUACCAUAUUAUGUUUGUAUGUACAUGUACUGCAUGUAUGCUGUGUACAUUAACCCCCUGUAUGUGUACAUUUUACCACAUGUAUGCUAGCAUGUUCAUCAUAAUACAUGUAUGAUUUCUUCUGCUAUUUUCCUGAUUGUUUCAUCUUUCUCUCCCCUUCAGCCACAAGCCUUUCUUUUUCUAUCUUUACCCAGCCGGCUUCACGCAGAUAGGGCCCC